AUGAGGACCGAUGAUAACACUUCAGCCAAUCAGUCGGGUGAUAUGCUGACAGGCUUAUUGCCUCCAGCUAAGAGGAAGGAUGUGGGAAAGCCUACGACAAGCAGAGAGAAAGCACUGUAUGAUGGACUGAGUAAGAUGACAAGAUUAUGCAUGAUUUUCAGUGACAAGCACACAAACGGAUACCCUGCCCUGAUCGUGGGGAUGUACAAAAACAGCCUUGGAAGCCAGGAAGAUGCAAGAAUUGUGGCGUUGAAGGCCAUCGUCGAUACAACUACCACAAAGUGGCUGAGCUCAGGCUGA
rnacentral:rRNA from 1 species